GCCUGGGUGGCUCAGUCGGUUAAGCAUCCGACUUCAGCUCAGGUCAUGAUCUCACGGUUUGUGGGUUCGAGCCCCGCACCCGGCU
rnacentral:tRNA from 1 species